CUUUGCUGGCGACCGGCGCACGGGUGAGUAACACGUAUCCAACCUACCCUUUACUCGGGGAUAGCCUUUCGAAAGAAAGAUUAAUACCCGAUAGCAUAAUGAUUCCGCAUGGUUUCAUUAUUAAAGGAUUCCGGUAAAGGAUGGGGAUGCGUUCCAUUAGGUUGUUGGUGGGGUAACGGCCCACCAAGCCUUCGAUGGAUAGGGGUUCUGAGAGGAAGGUCCCCCACAUUGGAACUGAGACACGGUCCAAACUCCUACGGGAGGCAGCAUG
rnacentral:rRNA from 1 species